rnacentral:ncRNA from 1 species
GACAGAGGCGCGGACUUGAUGAGUCCUGCCGGAGAAGGGUGCCGGCCCGACGCAUAUUCAUGCGGAACUCCGACAGAAAAGGCAAGACCGCCGAAGCGUUCCGGGGAACGGCUCCCCGCGGCGCUGGGCGCGUACCGAACAGGUGCGUGACUGUCACACCGCGCAGACUGCGCUGUGUGGAGUGCUGA